UCUUCCGCAAUGGACGAAAGUCUGACGGAGCAACGCCGCGCGAGUGAUGAAGGUUUUCGGAUCGUAAAGCUCUGUUGUUAGGGAAGAACAAGUGCCGUUCAAAUAGGGCGGCACCUUGACGGUACCUAACCAGAAAGCCACGGCUAACUACGUGCCAGCAGCCGCGGUAAUACGGAGGUGGCAAGCGUUGUCCGGAAUUAUUGGGCGUAAAGGACUGGCAGGCGGUUUCUUAAGUCUGAUGUGAAAGCCCCCGGCUCAACCGGGGAGGGUCAUUGGAAACUGGGGAACUUGAGUACAGAAGAGGAGAGUGGAAUUCCACGUGUAGCUGUGAAAUGCGUAGAGAUGUGGAGGAACACCAGUGGCGAAGGCGACUCUCUGGUCUGUAGCUGACGCUGAGGAGCGAAAGCGUGGGGAGCGAACAG
rnacentral:rRNA from 1 species